GGACAGCACAAGCACAAGGAAACUUUUCUUUUAAUUAAAAUGUAAUUAAUUCAUUAGUACCCCCUGCCCAUGGCUGUCAUUCUUAUUUAAGGUGACCCUCAGUUGUCUUUCCAGGCACAGCCUGAGUCACUGUUCCUCAUGUCUCUCUAAUGAUUAUCUUACUUCCUCUGGCAACUUGGCCACAUCUAUAUGACCCAAAUGACCCAUAAGAUUUCUAAAAGAAUCUAGUUUAUGCCAUAGUCUUCUAUCAACCUGUGCUAUUUCAGAAAAAAAAGCUGAUUUGGGUCUUGCUUUCACUUUCCUUAAAGCUUUUCCAGAAGAUCCUGAAGAAAGUGAAUUUUCACCAGGAUGCCCCAAAUCCAAACCUAAGGUCUAUCAGAGGCACCUUGAAAAACUGGCAAUAGGAUCCAUCUACCCAUCCAGUUUUUCCUCUGGAUGUGGAUGGUGUAGAACUCAGAUAUUUUUAAUCCAAGAUAAUACUUUUUAAACUAGAUCACAUUAACUAUACAUUUUAUUUAUAAAUUUUAGAAAAGUAAAAU
rnacentral:lncRNA from 1 species